GCCCUUAACGGUUCUAGGUGGGUCAAGGCGGCCCAAGACAGGUCAAGGCAUUCCACAGCGGCCCAAGGCGGGUUAAGGCACCCCUUGGCCGCCCCUUGGCUGUCCUAGGUGGGCCUAGAGGAGCCGAGGAGGAUCAAGGCGGCCACUUAGCGGCCCUAGACGGGACUAGGAGGGUCAUGGCGACCCUUGGCGAGUCAUCACGGCUUCUUGGUGACCCUAGAUGAGUCGAGGAGGGUCAAGGCGAUCCAAGGCUAGGGAAGGCGGCCUAAGUCGGUCCAUGGCGGGUCAAGGCGGAUUAAUGUGGGCCAAGGCGGUCCUAAGAGAGCUAAGGCGGCCCAAGGCGGUCCAAGGCGGUCCCAAGCUAUCAAAGGCGGGCCAAAGCGUGUCAAGCUAGUCCAAAUCAGGCCAAUGCGGGUCAAGACGGCCCCAUGGCGGGUCUAGGAGGGUUAAGUAAUUUGGUGCUUUUUAGAUGUGCAACUAACGCGCAAUAUAACACGGGCAUUAAAGAAAGGGGAAGUAUUUAGACCCCAAGUAUCGUUCCACGGGGAUUGAAGGGCUAGCCACAAUUCUUGGGUAAUCGGGAAUAAGUCACUAAUGCAAACAAAGAGAAAAAGAAAAUAAAGAAAAAUGCUACUGUAAGGCACCAAGUCUUAGCAAUGCUCGGCCUCGGUUCGCACCAAUGCCUAAUCAAUACUAACGCCUAGUGAUGACUAUUUACAAUGAGUAGAAAGUGUCAUCGAAAUUUGUUUUUGGAUUCCUAAUUAACGAAAUAAAAAGCAACAACUAAAAUUACAAAUAAAAUAAAGGAAAUAGAAAUAACAAAGAGGGAAUGUCGGGAGCAAGGAAGGUUUCUUCACCCAAAUCAUAUGUGUCGGAAGCUAUCUAAUAUAGAUGUUAAUUUCAUAUUUGGCGGUAGUCGUAUCGAAGGCAGUUCAAGGCUCAAGGACCAUAUUAUUCACAAUUCGAUAUUAGUGAGCCGGUUCAAGGGUCACACUAACUCAACUAGAGAGAGUUAGAGCCGGUUCAAGGGUUACUCACUCUAAUUGGCGUAAAGAUCGGGAAUUAGACUACUAAGCAACUCACCCGCACAAUCACACGACGGGUGUAAAUUACCAUACUUGUAGCUCACUAGCUUAGGAACUAGAGGGGGUGAAGCCUCCAAUUCCAUCCUAAAUAUGCUCAAAACACACACCCUAGAGUUGACUAGGCUCCUAGACAUGCAUUUCAACCCAAUAAAAAUAGAAACAAGCAUCCAAUAUAUGAAAAUUUCAUCACUACAUUAAAAUAGGCGUCCAUUACAUAAAAUUCGGGUUAAGGUACACAACCCUAACCCCCAACAAAGAAACUACUCACAACCCAUAAACAUAUACAACAUCAAUUUCACCAAUUUCAUACAAAUAAAAGAGGAAAAGGUAUAGAAGAGGGAGAACAACCAAGACAAGCCACAAAUGCUAAAGAGCAUAUAUAACAAGCCUUGGAAUUAUAAUUUCUCCCUUUUACCCAAUUGAUGAUUAAGCCUAUUGCUUCUUCUUCACUUGACAAAAUCGAUGAAGCUUGGGGUUUGGGUGAGUACUCCUUUGGUUACCCAAAAGAAAUUACAAAGGACUAAAUAAUAAAAAAAUGAAAGAGAGGAGGGAUGGAUUUGAGAGCAGCCAAAGGCUGCCCUCUCUGAAAAAUGGCUGUGCGGCUGUGUCUAAUCUCCUCCCUGGAAAAUGAGUUGAGCUCAUAUAUAUUCCUCUCGGUAUUGUGCGAGGAGAAAAGAGACAAAGGGCAAUGGUGCCCUGCCACGUGCUAACGUAAGACUGGAGGAGGAAAUGAGGUCCACAAGAGCACGUGGUCAUGGACUCAUGGGAUUGAAUACUUUGGUGUGCUGCACGUUACUUUGGUGUGCUGCACGUUUUUGUGUGGCUUCAACACCACUUAAGCUUAAUCAACUAAUUAAGCUUAAUUAAGAUAUCUUCUCAUCGACUAUGUUGAUCUACUCCAUUUUUGCGUCAUUUCGUGUCGAUUUCCGCACUCUCCUUAUUUCUUACAAAAUAGAUAAAAAUUGAUUACUUACAUAUUGAUUGGCAUGAGAUCUAGCUUAAUUCACUUGUUUGAGUACUAAUUACGUAUUAAGACGGUUCAAGGCGGGACAAAGCAGGCUAAGGCGGCCCAAGGCGUUCCAAGGCGGUUCAAGACGGGUUAUGGCACCCCCUUGGCCGCCCCUUGGCUGCCCUAAGUGGGCCUAGAAGAACCAAGGAGAGUAAAGGCGUCCCCUUGGCGGCCCUAGGAGGGUCAUGGCGAUCCCUUGGAGGGUCAUGGCAGCGUCUUGGUGGCCCUAGGUGGGUCCAAGGAGUCAAGGCGGUCCAAGGCAGGUUAAGGCUGACCAACACAGGUCAAGACGGGUCAAGACGGGCCAAGCGGUCAAAAGCAGGUGAAGGCAUCCCCAUGGCGGGUCUAGGAGGGUCAAGACGGCUCAAGGCGGUUUAAGGUGGGUCAAGGCGUUCCAAGGCGGUUCAAGGCGGGUUAUAGCGCCCCUAGGCCGCCCCUUGGCUGCCCUAGGUGGGCCUAGAAGAGCCAAGGUGGGUCAAGGCGGCCCCUUGGCGGCCCUAGACGGGCCUAUAAGGGUCAUGGCGACUCCUUGGCGAGUCAUGGCGGCUUCUUGGUGGCCCUAGGUGAGUCUAGGUGGGUCAAGGCGGUCCAAGGCGAGUUAAAGCGGCCAAAGGCGGGUUAAGGCGGGCCAACGCAGGUCAAGGCAGGCCAAGACGAGCCAAGGCUGCCCUGGGCAGUCCAAGGCGUGUCAAGACGACCCCAUGGCGGCCUUAAGCAGCUCAUUGGCGGGUCAAGGCAGCCCUAGGCGGGUCUAGGAGGGUCAAGGCGUACCAAGGAGGUCCAAUGCGGGUCAUAACGGACAAGGCGAGCCAGGGCGGGUCAAAGCGGCUAAGGUGGGUCAAGGCGAGCCAAGGCGAUCCUAGGCGUGUCAAGGCGGUCCAAAGCGGGUCAAAGCGGCCCAAGACGUGUCAAGGCGAGUCAAGGCGGUCCCUAGGGAAGUCAAAACCGACCUAGGCGUGUAAAUGCAGCCCCUUGGUAGGUCAAGACGUCCCCUUAGCAGCCUGAGGCGUGUCAAGGCGGCCUCCCAAGUUGGGCCUAGAAGCGCCGAAGAGGGUCAAGGCGGACCAAAAAGGGUCAAGGCGGUUAAAGGCUGGUCAAGGCAGGCCAAGGCGGCCCAAGACGGGUCUAGGUGGGACAAGGCGGCCAAUGGUGUUCCAAUGCGGGCCAAAGGGGGUCAAGGCUGGCCAAGGCGGUUUAAGGCAAGUUAUAGAGCCCCCUUGGCUUCCCUAGGUGGGCCUAGAAGAGCCGAGGAGGGUCAAAACGGGUCAAGGCGGCCUUUUGGCGGCCCUAGACGGGCCUAGGAGGGUCAUAGCGACCCCUUGACGGGUCAUGGCGGAUUCUUGGUGGCCCUAGGUGGGUCUAGGAGGGUCAAGGCAUUCCAAGGCGACCAAAGGCAGUCCAAGGUGGGUUAAGGCGGGCUAAAACAGGUCAAGGUGGGUCAUGGUGUGCCAAGGAGGUCCUAGGCGAGCUAAGUUAGCCCUAUGGCGGCCGUAGGAGGGUCAAGGCGGCUCCUUGGCGGCCCUAGACGGGCCUAAGAGGUUCAUGGCGACCCCUUCGCGAGUCAUGGCGCCCAAGGCGGGUCAAGGAGUGUAAAGGCAGCCCCUUGGCGACUUUACGUGGGUCUUGGCUCCCCCUUGGUUGCCAUAGUUGGGCCUAGAAGCUCCGAGGAAGGUUAAGGUGGGCCAGGUUCGAGGUGGCCUAUGGCGGGCCAAGGCGGGUUAAGUUGGCCCUACAUGGGUCAAGGUGGCCCUAGGCGGGCCUACGAGGGUCAAGGCAUGUAAAGGCAGCCCUUUGAUGGGUCAUGGUGAGUCAUGGCUGCUUCUUGGCAAGUCUAGGAGGGUCAAGACGGCCCAAGGUGGGUCAAGACGGCAUAAGGAAGCCCAUGGCGAGUCCAAGGUGGGCCAAUGCGGGUCAAGAAGGUUAAAAGCUGGUCAAGGCGAGUAAAGGCGGCCCUAGGAAGCCCCUUGGCGGGUCUAGGAGGGUCAAGGCGGCCCUUAGCAGGUUUAGGAGGGCCAAGGCGUCUAAAGGCCACCCCUUGACGGGUCAUGGCGAGAUAUGGCGACUUCUUGGUGGCCCUAUGCAAGUCUAGGAGGGUCAAGGGGUCAAGGCUACCCAAGGCCUGUCUAAGAGGGCUAAGGCGGUUCAAGGAAGGCCAAGGUGGUCAAAAGCGGUUCAAAGCGGGGCAAGGCAUCCCCAAGGCGAUCCAAGGCGGACCAAGGCGGUCCACGGCUAGCCUAAGUGGUCCAAGGCAAGCCAAAGCAAGUCAAGACGGCCUCAUAGCGGCCCUUGGCAGGUCUAGGAGGGUCAAGGCAGCCCUAGGCGGUUUCAGAAGGGUCAAUGGGGUUUAAGGUGGCCCAAGGCAGGUCAAGGCGGCUAAGGCGUGUCAGGGCGGGUCAAGGCUUUCAAAGGCGGCCUCAUGGCAACCCUAGGCAGCAUUUGGCGGGUCUAUAAGGGUCAAGGAGGGUCAAGGCGGGGCAAGACGGCCCAAGGCGGGUCUUGGCGGCCCAAUGCCUUCCAAGGCGGGUUAAGGCGCCCCCUUGCCCGCCCCUUAGUUGCCCUAGGAGAGUCAUGGCGACCCCUUGGCGGCCUUAGACUGGUUAAGGUGGGCCAAUAGGGGUCAAGGCGGGCCAAGGCGGUCCUUGGCUGGCUAAGGCGGUUCAAAGCGGGUCAAGACGGGCCAAGAUGGGUCAAAGCAGCCUAAGACAGGCUAAGGCGGGUCAAGGUGCCUCUGGGCGGACGUAUACAGCCCCUUAGCGGCCUUUGGCAGGUCAUGGCGGUCCCAAGGGAGGUCAAAACAGACCUAGGCGUGUAACAGCAGCCCCUUGGCAGGUUAAGACGUCCCUUUAGCGGCCCUAGACGUGUCAAGGCAGCCCCUUGACGGGUCAUGGCGAGUUAUGGCAGCUUCUUGGUGGCCCUAGGCAAGUCUAAGAAGGUCAAGGCUGUUUAAGGCGGGUCAAGGUGGCACAAGGAACUCCAAGGCCCUUUGUCUUCUUUCCUUUAGGGGAUGCUGGUGGCACAAGUGUCUUCCCACUCCUCGUAAUGAUAGCUUGAACUUGUUCGUUCCUUGGAUUCCUUAUAACUCCACCUGGCAACUUCCCUUGCUCGUUGAAUUUUCCCAUGAAGUCCACAACUUGCCCCAUUUGAGUCUUUAACUCAGUAAUGUCUUUUGACAUCAAAGCAAUAUCCUUAGUGUUGGUUUGAGUUGUGGCCAACAAAGAUUGAGUCGAAGUGGCAAUAUUCUUAAAAAUCUCAUCAUAGUUGCUAGGUCCACUCGGCUGCCCUCCUUGUUGGUUGUAGGGUACAUACGGCCUUGGCACAAAUUGCCCUUGUGGCCGAGCUGCAUAUUGUCCUCCACUCGGCUGCUGCCCUUGUUGUUGUACUUUGUUUGAGGGUUAAGCACAUUAUUGUUGCUCCAACGAAAGUUUGGAUCGUUGAACCUUGGAUUGAAAUUUUGAAAACGUUGCUGCCCUCCUUGUCCUUGAAAUCCACCUUGCUGUCCACCAAAACCGACGGCAUUAACUUCCUCAAAGCCGCCACCGAUCACUUGGUUGCAUUGAUCGGUGGGGUGCCCUUCCAUGCUACACACUCCACAAACUUGAGCUCCUUUGCCCUUUGCUAGGUUUGACACCAUAAGAGUCAACUUUCCCAAAUAAUACUUGACUCUCCAAGGAUACUCGUCUCAUUAACACGCCUAGUUGAAGAUGAUCCAAAUUGUUGAUUGUUUGUAGCUCUCAUCUCCAACAAGUUGCUAGCAUCCUCUCGGCUCUUCUCCAUCAAAGAUCCUCCAGCUGCCGAAUCCAAGAAUUGCCUCUCCAUUGGACAAAGUCCUUCAUAAAAGUAUUGAAGCAGAAGCCCCUCACGUAUCCCAUGAUUUGUACAUGAAGCAACUAAGGCCUUAUACCUUUCAUAAUAAACAUCAAAAGGCUCAUCAAUAUCUUGAUUGAUCGAUGUUAUCUCCUUCCUUAUUUGCGUCACCCUCGACGAUGGAAAGUACUUUAGGAGAAACUCGCUCAUCAUUGUUUCCCAUGAUGUGAUACGACCGGCCGGAACCGUAAAGAACCAUCCCCUAGCUCGAUCCUCAAGUGAAAAUGGAAAUGCCUUUAUCUUCACAAGUUGUAAAUCCGCUCCUCUAGGACACAUAGUAUCACAACAGAACUCAAAUUGCUGUAAAUGUCGGUUCNNNN
rnacentral:lncRNA from 1 species